CGCGAGACUCGUAGCUUCUUAUCCGCAAAGACAAAAUCAAAAACGGGGGGGGGGAACGAAAUCCGAAAUCGCAAACUUAGAAUUAGUAAUAUAGGUACCUGUCCAACAAAUGUCAUAAGCUCAGGCGCGGGAAAUUUGGAACCAUUGUCAAUCUUUUAAAAAAUGAGAACUGAGAUUAAAUCUCUGUCAUUGGUUAAAUAAUAUAACAUCUACAGGUAUUAGUAAUUUUAUCUUGAAAAAUAUAUAUUUUCCAGCCAAUAAUAACAAGGAAAAGUUCGAUUUAUCGAUUGAAAAUCGGCUUUCAAGUUCCUGUUGUCGGUCGAGAUGAGCGACGGAGACAGGGUUACGAAAAAAAUUAUUUCGACCCACGUAUCUUAACGUCAUAAUUUCGAAAGGUGUCCAUAAUGACCGACACGUAUACCGACGAAAGUUAAGCCGAACCGACAUACGAGUAUUGAAAGUCGAUUCGAUAACGAGUGAAGAUAUCGGCCAACCGAGUUCGAGAGCUGACGUUCAAUCGCACGUCGAAUCGAAAACGGAUGUUGAUCAGUUUCCUUCAGUGACUAUUUUCGGUUUUUAAAAAAUGUACCAGUUACAUUUGAAGGGGGGAAUUUUAAACAAGGAUAUUAUUAAAAGCGUGAUUAACCUUACUAACCGACUCGAGUGCGAACUAAAUAAAUUCCGAUUUUUAGCGAAACCACGUUGGGUAGGAAACAGUGAAAAAACGAAAUAUUUAUCAAUUAUACGCCAGGUAUUUUACCGUGGUCAUGUAUG